AGUGAACGCUGGCGGUAGGCCUAACACAUGCAAGUCGAACGGCAGCACAGGAGAGCUUGCUCUCUGGGUGGCGAGUGGCGGACGGGUGAGGAAUACAUCGGAAUCUACUUUUUCGUGGGGGAUAACGUAGGGAAACUUACGCUAAUACCGCAUACGACCUACGGGUGAAAGCAGGGGACCUUCGGGCCUUGCGCGAUUGAAUGAGCCGAUGUCGGAUUAGCUAGUUGGCGGGGUAAAGGCCCACCAAGGCGACGAUCCGUAGCUGGUCUGAGAGGAUGAUCAGCCACACUGGAACUGAGACACGGUACAGACUCCUACGGGAGGCAGCAGUGGGGAAUAUUGGACAAUGGGCGCAAGCCUGAUCCAGCCAUACCGCGUGGGUGAAGAAGGUCUUCAGGUUGUAAAGCCCUUUUGUUGGGAAAGAAAUCCAGCUGGCUAAUACCCGGUUGGGAUGACGGUACCCAAAGAAUAAGCACCGGCUAACUUCGUGCCAGCCGCCGCCGUAA
rnacentral:rRNA from 1 species